rnacentral:tRNA from 1 species
GCGGGAGUAAUUCACCGGUAGAAUGCUUCCUUGCCAAGGAAGAUGUAGCGGGUUCGAUUCCCGUCUCCCGCUCCA